rnacentral:rRNA from 1 species
CUGGGGCUGUAGCCGGUCCCAAGGGUAUGGCUGUUCGCCAUUUAAAGUGGUACGUGAGCUGGGUUUAAAACGUCGUGAGACAGUUUGGUCCCUAUCUGCAGUGGGCGUUGGAAGUUUGAGGGGGGCUGCUCCUAGUACGAGAGGACCGGAGUGGACGAACCUCUGGUGUACCGGUUAUCACGCCAGUGGUAUCGCCGGGUAGCUAUGUUCGGGAGAGAUAACCGCUGAAAGCAUCUAAGCGGGAAACUUGCCUCAAGAUGAGACUUCCCAGGGACUUGAUCCCUCUAAAGGUUCGUUGAAGACCACAACGUUGAUAGGUCGGGUGUGGAAGCGCAGUAAUGCGUUAAGCUAACCGAUACUAAUUGACCGUGAGGCUUGAUCCUAUAACCUUA